rnacentral:rRNA from 1 species
UACGUAGGGUGCGAGCGUUAAGCGGAUUUACUGGGCGUAAAGCGUGCGCAGGCGGCCCGUUAAGACAGGUGUGAAAUCCCUGGGCUCAACCUAGGAAUUGCGCUUGUGACUGGCGGGCUCGAGUACGGUAGAGGGGGGUGGAAUUCCUGGUGUAGCAGUGAAAUGCGUAGAGAUCAGGAGGAACACCGAUGGCGAAGGCAGCCCCCUGGGCCUGUACUGACGCUCAUGCACGAAAGCGUGGGGAGCAAACAGG